GGGAGUGGGGCUCAGCUGGUAGAGUGCUUGCCUUGUAUGUAAGAAGUCCUGAGUUCAUACCCAGCACCA
rnacentral:tRNA from 1 species